UUUCCGUAGGUGAACCUGCGGAAGGAUCAUUAACACUUUUUUGGUUUCAAAAAAAAACACCUGUACGAACUGUAUUUCUUUUGUUGUUUGAGAAGGAAAAAAGAUAGGGAAAAAAACCUUCUUUUUCUAGGUUUUCCACCUCUCUCUAAUCUCUCUCAUACACAAUUUUUUAAAAAAAAACCCCUUUAACCAAAAACUUUUAAGAACUUUAAAAAAAAAUAAAAAAAAAAUGAUUUUAUUUCUAAAUAAUAGUAAGAAAACAACUCUUAACAAUGGAUAUCUUGGUUCUC
rnacentral:misc_RNA from 1 species